rnacentral:rRNA from 1 species
UACGGAGGGUGCGAGCGUUGUCCGGAAUCACUGGGCGUAAAGGGCGCGUAGGUGGCGCAGGAAGUCAACGGUGAAAGUUCGGGGCUCAACCCUGAAUCGGCCGUCGAUACUCCUGGGCUCGAGCACUGUAGAGGCAGAUGGAAUUCCGGGUGUAGCGGUGGAAUGCGUAGAGAUCCGGAAGAACACCGGUGGCGAAGGCGGUC